rnacentral:SRP_RNA from 1 species
GUCCAGAGGCUGCGGAAUGGUGGCUUGCGAAUUCCGCCAGGGCCGGAAGGCAGCAACGGU